CUCAUUUGAAAUACUUAUUUUCGUAACCUGUUUACGUAAUCAUAUUAUAUAUAAAGGUUAUUUAAGUUUCGAGGUAUUUUGUAAGCAUCUCCCUUUUGUCUUACACGAACGCCUGGGUAAAACAAAGGCGAUGACGGUGAUCACACAAAGUAGGCGUGCCUUUUUACCAACACCUGUCACAGAGCACGGUGCUCACCUGCAUUCUCUCUUAAUAUAAUAAGAAGUCUGAAACAUCAACACCAAGGAAAUAGCUGAACAAGAGUCGCCGUAAUAGCGUCCGACUCUACGUUUAACAGACAAUUUGCCGUUUUCCUUGAAUGUCUAACAAGGGAGUGACCCCCAAAGAAAACUUAUUUCUUUUGUUAAAAAUAUUGUAAAUAUAUUAAUGUGUGUGAA